GGGGGUUUAGCUCAGCUGGGAGAGCGCGUCGCUGGCAGCGACGAGGUCAUCGGUUCGAUCCCGUUAACCUCCACCA
rnacentral:tRNA from 2 species